rnacentral:tRNA from 1 species
GCCUGGUUAGUUCAGUGGUAGAAUACAUGCUUUGGGUAAAUGGCACUAGCUUGCUAGCGCCUCUCAAAUCUGAUUGUAUGUGGUCAUAGGUUCAAUCCCUAUAUCAGGCC